rnacentral:lncRNA from 1 species
UCCCCAAAUUUAUUUCAAACAAUACGAUUAAACAUGCUUCGAUUUAUCAAUUCACUUUUCGAAGUCCGAAACCAACAUCAACCAACACAUAACACAUAUUCGAACAUACCAAGCACGCAACAAAUAAAUCAUCCACACCUACAACAUCACAAAAAAUAAAUUAAAGAUUCGGUUAGAAGAAAUGGACCUCGAUGAAAUUAAUCUUUGUCGAUAAUAAAGAAAUCCAAAGACCAAAAUAGUCGACCGGAGAACCUCGAUCGUGAUGAAUCCAACUCGGUAGAGAGAAAAGCUAAUAAGACAACUUCAAAACCAGUGAGACAAACUUUACUAUACGAAACCCAACCAAGAACGACGACGCGAUUCGAUAAAGA